GAUGAACGCUGGCGGCGUGCCUAAUACAUGCAAGUCGAGCGAACAGACGAGGAGCUUGCUCCUCUGACGUUAGCGGCGGACGGGUGAGUAACACGUGGAUAACCUACCUAUAAGACUGGGAUAACUUCGGGAAACCGGAGCUAAUACCGGAUAAUAUAUUGAACCGCAUGGUUCAAUAGUGAAAGACGGUUUUGCUGUCACUUAUAGAUGGAUCCGCGCCGCAUUAGCUAGUUGGUAAGGUAACGGCUUACCAAGGCGACGAUGCGUAGCCGACCUGAGAGGGUGAUCGGCCACACUGGAACUGAGACACGGUCCAGACUCCUACGGGAGGCAGCAGUAGGGAAUCUUCCGCAAUGGGCGAAAGCCUGACGGAGCAACGCCGCGUGAGUGAUGAAGGUCUUCGGAUCGUAAAACUCGGUUAUUAGGGAAGUACAAAUGUGUAAGUAACUAUGCACGUCUUGACGGUACCUAAUCAGAAAGCCACGGCUAACUACGUG
rnacentral:rRNA from 1 species